rnacentral:rRNA from 1 species
UAAGGAAUAUUGCUCAAUGGGAGAAAUCCUGAAGCAGCAACGCCGCGUGGAGGAUGAAGGGUUUUUAACUUGUAAACUCCUGUAAAGAAGGAAAAAAUUCCCAUUAGAUGGGAAAUGAUGGUACUUCUGGAGUAAGCCCCGGCUAACUACGUGCCAGCAGCCGCGGUAAUACGUAGGGGGCAAGCGUUGUCCGGAUUUACUGGGUGUAAAGGGUGCUCAGGCGGAUUUGUAAGUCAGAGGUGAAAUCUCACAGCUUAACUGUGAAACUGCCUUUGAUACUGCAAGCCUAGAGUAUGGAAGAGAGUGAUGGAAUAUCUGGUGUAGCAGUGAAAUGCGUAGAUAUCAGAUAGAACACCAAUGGCGAAGGCAGUCACUUGGUCCAUAACUGACGCUAAAGCACGAAAGCGUGGGUAGCAAACAGGAUUAGAUACCCUGGUAGUCCACGCCCUAAACGAUGAAUACUAGAUGUUGGCUUCGCAUGAAGUCAGUAUCUGAGCUAACGCAUUAAGUAUUCCACCUGGAAGUACGAUCGCAAGGUUGAAACUUAAAGGAAUUGACGGGGGUCAUA